rnacentral:rRNA from 1 species
GACGAACGCUGGCGGCGUGCUUAACACAUGCAAGUCGAACGGAAAGGCCCUGCUUUUGUGGGGUGCUCGAGUGGCGAACGGGUGAGUAACACGUGAGUAACCUGCCCUUGACUUUGGGAUAACUUCAGGAAACUGGGGCUAAUACCGGAUAGGAGCUCCUGCUGCAUGGUGGGGGUUGGAAAGUUUCGGCGGUUGGGGAUGGACUGGCGGCUUAUCAGCUUGUUGGUUGGGUAGUGGCUUACCCACGCUUUGACGGGUCGGCGGCCUGAGAGGGUGACCGGCCACAUUGGGACUGAGAUACGGCGCAGACUCCUAUGGGAGGCAGCAGUGGGGAAUAUUGCACAAUGGGCGGAAGCCUGAUGCAGCAACGCCGCGUGCGGGAUGACGGCCUUCGGGUUGUAAACCGCUUUCGCCUGUGACGAAGCGGGAGUGACGGUAAUGGGUAAAGAAGCACCGGCUAACUACGUG